GAUGAACGCUGGCGGCGUGCCUAACACAUGCAAGUCGAACGGAUGGGGCGGAAUGCUUGCAUUCUGCUUCAUUAGUGGCGGACGGGUGAGUAACACGUGGAUAACCUGCCUUAUACAAAGGAAUAACAACUAGAAAUGGUUGCUAAAACCUUAUAAGCUUACGGGGUCGCAUGAUUCUGUGGGAAAAUAUUCAUAGGUAUAAGAGGGGUCCGCGUCUGAUUAGCUAGUUGGUGGGGUAAGAGCUUACCAAGGCAAUGAUCAGUAGCCGGCCUGAGAGGGUGAACGGCCACAUUGGGACUGAGACACGGCCCAAACUCCUACGGGAGGCAGCAGUGGGGAAUAUUGCGCAAUGGGGGAAACCCUGACGCAGCAACGCCGCGUGAAGGAUGACGGUCUUCGGAUUGUAAACUUCUAUCGAUGGGGAAGAAUAAUGACGGUACCCAAGUAAGAAGCACCGGCUAACUACGUGCCAGCCGCCGCCGUAAGAC
rnacentral:rRNA from 1 species